UAGCAUUCUUAAUGGGAAAGCCAGGCAAAAGUUAGUAAAAUGCUAAGUUAAUCGGUUAACAUGGAAAUGCAAACUUAAAAAUCGGAUGAGCAAAUUUAUAAAAUUAUUAAGAUAGUAUUUUCACCAUGUUGUUAAAAUUUUCUUACUUCUAUAAAAUCAAAAUAAGAAACCCUUCAGAGUCUAGCAGUUAGGAUAAUGGCACGGGAGUUUCAGCAGAUCUGGUUCUAAUUCUAUAGUUGCUACUAACUGUGACCCAAAGUAUGUAGCUUUGCCUCCACAAACCUCCAUUUAUCCAUGUUUACAAUGAACUAAAACUAGAACUUGUUUCAUAACUGUCAUGAGAACUGUGAAUUAAUCUAUGUGAAGCACUUGACUCACUGCCCAAUACAAAAUGGGUA